GACGAACGCUGGCGGCGUGCUUAACACAUGCAAGUCGAACGGAAAGGCCCUGCUUUUGUGGGGUGCUCGAGUGGCGAACGGGUGAGUAACACGUGAGUAACCUGCCCUUGACUUUGGGAUAACUUCAGGAAACUGGGGCUAAUACCGGAUAGGAGCUCCUGCUGCAUGGUGGGGGUUGGAAAGUUUCGGCGGUUGGGGAUGGACUCGCGGCUUAUCAGCUUGUUGGUGGGGUAGUGGCUUACCAAGGCUUUGACGGGUAGCCGGCCUGAGAGGGUGACCGGCCACAAUGCGACUGGAAUACGGCCCAGACUCCUACGGGAGGCAGCAGUGGGGAGUAUUGCACAGUGGGCGGAGGCCUGAUGCAGCAACGCCACGUGGCGGAUGACGGGCUGCGGGUUGUAAACCGCUUUUGCCUGUCACGAAGCGUGAGUGACGGUAAUCGGUGAAGAAGCACCGGCUAACUACGUG
rnacentral:rRNA from 1 species